rnacentral:rRNA from 13 species
CAUAGGUUUGGUCCCAGCCUUCCUAUUGACUACUAAUAGACUUACACAUGCAAGCAUCCGCACCCCAGUGAAGACGCCCUUUAAAUCCACCUGAACCAAAAGGAGCUGGUAUCAAGCACACAUUUGUAGCUUAUGACGCCUUGCUCAGCCACACCCCCACGGGAGACAGCAGUGAUAAAAAUUAAGCUAUGGACGAAAGUCUGACUAAGUCAUAUUGAUAAGGGUCGGUAAAUCUCGUGCCAGCCACCGCGGUCAUACGAUUGACCCUAGUUAAUAGGAAUACGGCGUAAAGAGUGUUAAAGCAUCACACUAAAUAGAGUUAAAUUAUAACUAAGCUGUAAAAAGCCACAGCUGUAAUAAAAAUAGACAACGAAAGUGACUCUACAACCGCUGAUCACACUACAGCUAAGACCCAAACUGGGAUUAGAUACCCCACUAUGCUUAGCCAUAAACACAGGUAAUUGUAUAAACAAAAUUAUUCGCCAGAGUACUACUAGCAACUGCUUAAAACUCAAAGGACUUGGCGGUGCUUUACACCCUUCUAGAGGAGCCUGUUCUAUAAUCGAUAAACCCCGAUAAACCUCACCAACCCUUGCUAAUACAGUCUAUAUACCGCCAUCUUCAGCAAACCCUAAAAAAGGAACAAGAGUAAGCAUAAUAAUAGCACAUAAAAACGUUAGGUCAAGGUGUAACCUAUGGGUUGGAAAGAAAUGGGCUACAUUUUCUAUUUCAAGAACACUCAACACGAAAGUUAUUAUGAAACUGAUGACUAAAGGAGGAUUUAGUAGUAAACUAAGAAUAGAGCGCUUAGUUGAAUUAGGCUAUGAAGCACGCACACACCGCCCGUCACCCUCCUCAAGUAAACACGAUACACCUAAACUUAUUCACACGUAUUAACCGUACAAGAGGAGAUAAGUCGUAACAAGGUAAGCAUACUGGAAAGUGUGCUUGGAUAAAU